GACGUAGGGUGCAAGCGUUGUCCGGAUUUACUGAGCGUAAAGAGCGCGUAGGCGGCUCGUUAAGUGAGAAGUGAAAGCUGUGGGCUCAACCCACAAACCGCUUUUCAUACUGGCGAGCUGGAGUGAUGCAGAGGUGGAUAGAAUUCCCGGUGUAGCGGUGAAAUGCGUUGAUAUCGGGAGGAAUACCCGUGGCGAAGGCGGUCCACUGGGCAUCAACUGACGCUGAGGCGCGAAAGCGUGGGUAGCAAACAGG
rnacentral:rRNA from 1 species